AGAGUUUGAUCCUGGCUCAGAACGAACGCUGGCGGCAUGCCUAACACAUGCAAGUCGAACGAGACCUUCGGGUCUAGUGGCGCACGGGUGCGUAACACGUGGGUAAUCUGCCUGGAAGCUUGGGAUAACCAGUCGAAAGACUGGCUAAUACCAGAUAAGCCCCCGGACUCUUCGGAGUCAGAGGGAAAAGGUGGCCUCUGUAUACAAGCUAUCACUUCCAGAUGAGCCCGCGGCCCAUCAGCUAGUUGGCGGGGUAAUGGCCCACCAAGGCAACGACGGGUAGCUGGUCUGAGAGGACGAUCAGCCACACUGGAACUGAGACACGGUCCAGACUCCUACGGGAGGCAGCAGUGGGGAAUUUUGCGCAAUGGGCGAAAGCCUGACGCAGCAACGCCGCGUGUGUGAUGAAGGUCUUCGGAUUGUAAAGCACUUUCGACCGGGACGAAAACCCUCUGGCUAACAUCCAGGGGCUUGACGGUACCGGGAGAAGAAGCACCGGCUAACUCUGUGCCAGCAGCCGCGGUAAUACAGAGGGUGCAAGCGUUGUUCGGAAUUAUUGGGCGUAAAGCGCGUGUAGGCGGCUUUGCAAGUCGGGUGUGAAAGCCCUCAGCUCAACUGAGGAAGUGCGCCCGAAACUGCAGAGCCUGAGUGCCGGAGAGGAUGGCGGAAUUCCCCAAGUAGAGGUGAAAUUCGUAGAUAUGGGGAGGAACACCGGUGGCGAAGGCGGCCAUCUGGACGGUAACUGACGCUGAGACGCGAAAGCGUGGGGAGCAAACAGGAUUAGAUACCCCGGUAGUCC
rnacentral:rRNA from 1 species